rnacentral:rRNA from 1 species
GCAAGUCGAACGAUGAAGCAGAGCUUGCUCUGUGGAUUAGUGGCGAACGGGUGAGUAACACGUGAGUAACCUGCCCUUGACUCUGGGAUAAGCACUGGAAACGGUGUCUAAUACCGGAUACGAUCUUCAGCCGCAUGGCUAGGAGCUGGACAGAAUUUCGGUCAAGGAUGGACUCGCGGCCUAUUAGCUAGUUGGUGAGGUAAUGGCCCACCAAGGCGACGAUGCGUAGCCGGCCUGAGAGGGUGAGC